rnacentral:rRNA from 1 species
GAUUCCCUGAGUAACGGCGAGCGAAAGGGGAACUGUCCAGCGCCAAGUCUUGACAUCUAUGGUGUUCAAGAGAUGCGGCGUUCAUGUCUCACUGCAUCAUACACCGUUCCAGGUUUCAAGUUCCCACGACCGGGACUUCCAGAGCGGGUGUUAGGCCCAUAGAGACCAGGAACCCAGUGUAUGCUAGUGAAACAUUCUAGAGUCAGGUUGCUUGAGAGUGCAGCUUAAAGUAGGUGGUAAACUCCAUCCAAGACUAAAUACUACAGCGAGACCGAUAGCAAACAAGUACCGUGAGGGAAAGUUGCAAAGCACUUUGAAGAGAGAGUUCAAAAGUACGUGAAACCACUUGCAGGCAAACAGAUGGAACCACGAAGUGUGCGCCUCGGUCGAUUCAAUCACCCUUGUCAAUCAAUCUGGUCGGUGUUGAGGAACUUUGCGGAGUUCGCACCGGAUCAGAUUAUGGAUGGACAAGGGUGGUGCAUUUCGUGCCGGGGAUGCUAAGCCACGUUCAACCACAUAGCUGGGACGGCUGUAAGACAGGACCAAAGAAAGGUAAUCGUCGGAUGCUUGCAUCGGACGGUGUUAUAGUCUUUGGUCGGCACCGUCGCCUAGCAUAGUGGUUGAUGAAAUUUCUCCGCAAGGAGUCUAGCCAUGUGGGCCUGUGGCCAGUAGUCGGCAUUGCGGAGCGUUCUUUGCGUAUCUUUCGAUGCGAAAAGGCGUUCCAAAAGUGCCGGCUGCAGGUCGCUUGCCAUACAUGGCGGAACUGUGGCGCGAGUAGGUCGGUCUCCAUCUGACCCGUCUUGAAACACGGACCAAGGAGCCUAUCAUAUACGCGAGUCGCUCGGUCUUGUUUAGGCCCGGGAGGCGUAAUGAAAGUAAAGUUACGAGACUUUGGUCGCAGUAACGGCUCGCCUACUUCGUUUUUUUGGCGAUAUGGCGAAGCUGGAGCGUAUACGAUGGUACCCGAAAGAUGGUGAACUAUGCCUGGGCAAGAUGAAGCCAGAGGAAACUCUGGUGGAGGUCUGUAGCGAUUCUGACGUGCAAAUCGAUCGUCAGACCUGGGUAUAGGGGCGAAAGACUAAUCGAACCAUCUAGUAGCUGGUUCCCUCCGAAGUUUCCCUCAGGAUAGCAGGCGCUUAUUGUUUUUGAAACAGUCUCAUCCGGUAAAGCUAAUGAUUAGAGGUCUUGGGGUUGAAACGACCUCAACCUAUUCUCAAACUUUAAAUGGGUGAGAUGGUUGACUUGCUUGAUUGAAGCCAACCAUUUGGAUGCAAGUGCCUAGUGGGCCAUUUUUGGUAAGCAGAACUGGCGCUGUGGGAUGCACCAAACGUCGAGAUAAGGCAUCUAAUGCAUACGCUCAUCAGACCCCAUGAAAGGUGUUGGUUGCUAUAGACAGCAGGACGGUGGCCAUGGAAGUCGGAACCC